UUCGCAGACGAGCUGGUUUCCUCCGAUUCAGAGGCGAGGGUUCAUAGUGAAGGCAUUAAAAAGAUUGCAAAGGCCUGUCUGACGAUGGCCUGAGGUGGAAUAUACACCUACCAGGAUGAUGGUGAAAAGCUCCCUCGGCAGAUAAAAUGGAUGACACUUGGCUGCCAGAUGUUUCAGGUUGGAAAGAACACCAGAUGAUGAUCUUCAAGAAUACUGUGCCUUCCUGGGUGAGCUGCAUAACAACAUGUUGGAGGAAUUUUAGGAUCUUUUCUCGAUCCAGAUUCCUGAUUGGGUUGUAAAUCCACUCCUUGUAAUGAGGAAUUAACAGGAAGGAUGGUGGAAAAAAAAGAUCUCUCUACAAAAUGACAUUGAGCUGAAUUUCAAAAAAUCAUAUCAAGGCUUUUAGUUGCAGAAAGGAAUUUGAACACUAUCUUACACUGUGGAAAAAUGUAAAGAUAUUCUUUACUCCCUUUCUAAACUCAUAUUUAGUGGAGUGCUGUUCCAGUGCGGUUGCCCAACUUCUUUCAAAGCAACAAAACAAACUGCA